CCUACGGGAGGCAGCAGUGGGGAAUAUUGGGCAAUGGGCGCAAGCCUGACCCAGCAACGCCGCGUGAAGGAAGAAGGCUUUCGGGUUGGAAACUUCUUUUGUCAGGGACGAAGCAAGUGACGGUACCUCACGAAUAAGCCACGGCUAACUACGUGCCAGCAGCCGCGGUAAUACGUAGGUGGCAAGCGUUAUCCGGAUUUACUGGGUGUAAAGGGAGUGUAGGCGGGGAGGCAAGUCAGAUGUGAAAACCACGGGCUCAACCUGUAGCCUGCAUUUGAAACUGUUUUUCUUGAGUGCUGGAGAGGCAAUCGGAAUUCGGGGUGUAGCGGUGAAUUGCGUAGAUAUACGGAGGAACACCAGUGGCGAAGGCAGAUUGCUGGACAGUAACUGACGCUGAGGCGCGAAAGCGUGGGGAGCAAACAGGAUUAGAUACCCCUGUAGUC
rnacentral:rRNA from 1 species